UUAUUCUUAAAACCUAGAGGUGUUCUUCACUUUUCAGGGGGAUUUAUUGAUGAUACUUGUUGAUUAAUCCAUGAAAAAUACCAAUACAUGGUUCGUGAGCAGACGAACCAUUGAAAGGGCCUAGCGCAGUCUAGCUACAUCCAGCCAGAUACUAGUAGAACCCAAAACAUUGUUUUGACAAGUACUGUCAUAUUUCGGUUGCAGUUUUUCACUAAAUACCAAGCUAAUCCUAGCCUGAGCUACGACAGUUUUACCUACAAAUGUUAGCGUUUCGUGCUGCAACUAGUAGUUGAUAUUCCAGGAUGUUAUGCCUAAAAUUGGAAUUCAGCUAUCAGAGAUUAGCAAAAUUCAAGCGGAAACUCUAGAUAGCGUUGAUGUGCGUCUAUGAUGAAGAUUAUGAGUGACAAGUUACGUGUUUCUUAUGUUACCCUUUUAUGUGUUUCAAAGGAUUUUUCGUCAAAAAAUUUACGGUGUGUUGUUAUCUAUUCAGUAUUGCUAUCGUUGGGUAUGCAUUGAAAAGGAAACCCUUGAAAUAGAUUGCUUUUUGUACGUGGUGGUGUUUCGCCUUGUCAGCUAUGCCAGCUGCUGAACCAGCAGCUUGCAUUCCUGCUAUCAAUGUACCACAAGGGAUCCUGACACUUUAAGAAGGCCACUAUUCCUUACAUGAAGAUCACCAUCCAGUUCAAUCAACAACAGAGUCUUCAUCUACUUCGUGUUGCUAACCAUCAGCCCUCAGCAUCCCAGGUAUCCAGAUUUCCAAGUUUCUCUGAUUAGCCAACCAUCAUCCAUACCCUUCAGCACUUCAUUGUGGCUUCUCUUCCUCUCUUCUUAGUCUGCUGAUUGCCAACAUUGAAUAAGGUUCAUCGUCAUAGCAUUUCCAUGGUAUUUUCAUUUGGUGGAUUAUCUAGCUGCUGUUUUUUGCACCGUUGCUUAGCCAGCUCACAUGGACAUGCUUUACCAACAUCUCCAUUUUUUUGGACUGGAAAUAUUCAUCUUCCUUCGUCGUCUUGGCCGUCUUCGCCUUCAUCUCCGUCUCGUCGUCUUGGCCGUCUUCGCCUUCAUCUCCGUCUUCGCCUUCAACUCCGUCUCGUCGUCUUGGACGUCUUCGCCUUUGUUUCAUCGCCGUCUUGGCCGUUUAUCUCUACGCCAUCACUUUGUCGCCGGCUUCUCCUUCGCCCUUCACGUAGGGAGUUCACCGUGGAUCGUCGUCCUGGUAUUGUCUUAUUUGGCAUUUUUAUGUUUAAGUUAACCCGUUGGCUGCCACCCCGUUUGCGUCCCAUUUUUUUUGUAGCUUGUAGGGACCGGCCGCAAUGGCCUUCGCCGCAAGGCGCCUUAGGCAAUGCACCAGUAGGGACUUCUCUUUGUCGAUGCGGUGGCGGAUUCCUGAGGGUGUGCAUUCCCUGUAAUGGAUUCCGUCACCGUGUCAGCCCGGACUUGUCUUCGGACAAGUCCCACCUUGUUCGCGAUCCUUAUGACGCGAUGCGUAGCUACUGUAGUUUAAGCAACCUACGGGUUGCAUGGCCUGGCAGCCAACGGGUUAACUUAGUUAAUUGUAUGUAUGUUUAUGUAAAUAUGUGUAUGUAUAUUUAUUGUGAUGUAAAAUAGUGGUGGAAUUG